rnacentral:rRNA from 1 species
UGGGGAAUAUUUGACAAUGGGCGAAAGCCUGAUCCAGCCAUGCCGCGUGUGUGAAGAAGGUCUUCGGAUUGUAAAGCACUUUAAGUUGGGAGGAAGGGUUGUAGAUUAAUACUCUGCAAUUUUGACGUUACCGACAGAAUAAGCACCGGCUAACUCUGUGCCAGCAGCCGCGGUAAUACAGAGGGUGCAAGCGUUAAUCGGAAUUACUGGGCGUAAAGCGCGCGUAGGUGGUUUGUUAAGUUGGAUGUGAAAUCCCCGGGCUCAACCUGGGAACUGCAUUCAAAACUGACUGACUAGAGUAUGGUAGAGGGUGGUGGAAUUUCCUGUGUAGCGGUGAAAUGCGUAGA